GGGCGAUUAACUCAGCGGUUUAGAGUGCUUCCCUUACAAGGAAGAAGUCGUAGGUUCGAAUCCUUCAUCGCCCA
rnacentral:tRNA from 2 species